AAAGAAAAGAAAAGAAAAGAAAAGCAAAGAAGGAAAACAUUUCCUAGACCAAUGGUGGCUACUCACUCUUUUGGUGUUACAAAAUAAGACGUCUAACUUUCAGUAUUUAAGAGAAGAAAAAUUAAGAGUCCAACUGCACCCCGCCCAGCAUUUCCUGAGGGCGUUCUUCCAAUCACAGAUGCAUUCUGGGUGAGCCAAUUAAUCUGGGCUCUGUGCCCUCAAGUGGGUGGUGUGCUGCUGGAUGUCAGGAACAGUGUGACAUAUAUCUGUGUCCUGUACCCACUUAAUUUGUCCCUGGCUGGAAUACAUGAACUUUCAUUUGUUCUGUUAUCAUCAUAUCCUGUCUAGACUGAAAACAGCUUCAGAAUGGCUCCCUCCAUGGUCUCUGAAUUAAAAAUCAGAGCCCAGUUUACCAUGCUGCCCCUGCCGGGGACUCCCAUGGGUCUUUCAGCUUCUGUCUCUGAAGUGGGAGAAACCUUGGGAAGACCAGGGAGGCUACUUCCAACUGAAAAAACCCAGGACAGUGCAUUUGAGGAUGGUACCACAACUUUGGGAAGCUCAACUGGACCUGUGGGUUGGACACAUCUGGCCUGCCUUGAGCUGGGAGGAACCAUCUUUGGCCACAGGUAAAACAUGUAAUAUAGUUCAUGUGUAUAAAUAACAAAACUUUUUUUUUUCUUCUGUAUUAUUAGUAUAAUGCAGGCAUGUCUAGCCUGCGUGCCACAGGUUGGACACAUCUGUCCUACAUUUUUGUAGAAUUUUGCCUUAGU
rnacentral:lncRNA from 1 species